ACCCAAAACUACCACAAAACAAGCCUAAAUCGUAGCCUACAUCCACCGAUCCACCAACCCUUUUGACCAUCACUUCUCUCAACCUAUACAUGCCUUUAACCUAACAACAAAAGAGAGAUCUUAACAUCAUAGAUUUGGAGGCAUAUACUAUGGCAUCUAAGGAGGCAAUCAAUGCUAAAUUCGAAGCCUUGGAGGCGCGAAUGGAGGAUAAGAUUCGGA
rnacentral:lncRNA from 1 species